CCAGUCUCCACCCCACGCCCCCCGCCUUAGAUUACAUCUGCACUUGUUGGGAGACCGCCGGACGUGGAGCGAGAGUCCGAAGGGCAGCGACGAUCGGAGGAAGUCGCAGUUGAACGAUCGACUUAUCAAGACGCGCGUACCUUCAUCAGCCAGGGUUUCAAGGUGUGGUCCAGCAGGAUGUCAAAGCCGAGGAGCUGAAAGCAAGCACUCCCAGACCCGUGAUUUGGGAAGCAGGUGAGAUCCAUGGUUCUUGCUGGACACGAAAUACCAGAUUGGGACGAUCCCAACUAGCCGGACAUCCUAACAGAUAUUCCAAUCCAGACCACAAUUCAGGUCAGAUCAGGUUCAUUUACUUAUCGGAGGUGCACCGAAACAGACAGUGAAACAUGCCACUUUGUUAACAGACAACACAACCAAAGUGUGCUGGGGGGCAGCACAUUCCGGUGACAACGUAGCAUGCCCACCAUGUUCAGCAGAGCAACACAAGCAACAAAACACGGCAAAUUUGGAGUAUCCUGCGCAGUUUCGGUCGCCUACAAACGUACAGGAAAGUCAUAAAAUAACCCAAUUGCAGAGGAGAAGAUGACGGCGUGACACAGCGUGCAGCGGCCACUCCGGUGAUGAAUGUCUGUUAUCUGUCAAGUAGGGUGCCGUGCACAUUUCUGAUUUGAUGGAGGCAGACGUGAGAGCACGGAGGAACAUCUGGUGAAACUUCUGAAAUGCCUGUUACACUGCCUCUGCUUCUGUGUGAUCCGAAAUCUCCGGAGGGGAAGGCCCCGAAUCCUCGGCUUUGCUCGUUGCUUGGCGGGCGGGGCGGGGUCGAAGCGCUCGGCAGAGAUGGUGCUCGGUGUCAGAGGGCUGGUCAGAGGCUCGAAGUUUUCGGACGGACUCAGAGUCGGCUGUGGUCGGGUGCUUCCAGGAUGCUGCAUCGGCAAGUUUGCAACGCUGGAGGCUCAUGGUAGGGAGAGUCUCUCCCUUCUACUGUCUGCGUGAGAUGUUGGGGCUAUCGGGACUUUGAGACUUUUUUUUAACCGUGCCCAUGGUCUGCUCUUUAUCAAAUUACGGUAUUCCUUUGCACUGUUGUAACUUUAUGUUAUAAUUAUGUGGUUUGUGUCCCUUUUAGUCUUGGUCUGUCCUGUGUUUCUGUGAUAUUAUAC